UGGGGAAUAUUGGACAAUGGGCGCAAGCCUGAUCCAGCCAUGCCGCGUGAGUGAUGAAGGCCCUAGGGUUGUAAAGCUCUUUCACCGGUGAAGAUAAUGACGGUAACCGGAGAAGAAGCCCCGGCUAACUUCGUGCCAGCAGCCGCGGUAAUACGAAGGGGGCUAGCGUUGUUCGGAUUUACUGGGCGUAAAGCGCACGUAGGCGGACUUUUAAGUCAGGGGUGAAAUCCCGGGGCUCAACCCCGGAACUGCCUUUGAUACUGGAAGUCUAGAGUAUGGUAGAGGUGAGUGGAAUUCCGAGUGUAGAGGUGAAAUUCGUAGAUAUUCGGAGGAACACCAGUGGCGGAGGCGGCUCACUGGACCAUUACUGACGCUGAGGUGCGAAAGCGUGGGGAGCAAACAGG
rnacentral:rRNA from 1 species